rnacentral:rRNA from 1 species
AACGACUCUCGGCAACGGAUAUCUCGGCUCUCGCAUCGAUGAAGAACGUAGCGAAAUGCGAUACUUGGUGUGAAUUGCAGAAUCCCGUGAACCAUCGAGUCUUUGAACGCAAGUUGCGCCCGAAGCCUUCUGGCUGAGGGCACGUCUGCCUGGGUGUCACGCAACGUCG